rnacentral:rRNA from 1 species
AGCAGUAGGGAAUCUUCCGCAAUGGACGAAAGUCUGACGGAGCAACGCCGCGUGAGUGAUGAAGGCUUUCGGGUCGUAAAACUCUGUUGUUAGGGAAGAACAAGUACAAGAGUAACUGCUUGUACCUUGACGGUACCUAACCAGAAAGCCACGGCUAACUACGUGCCAGCAGCCGCGGUAAUACGUAGGUGGCAAGCGUUAUCCGGAAUUAUUGGGCGUAAAGCGCGCGCAGGCGGUUUCUUAAGUCUGAUGUGAAAGCCCACGGCUCAACCGUGGAGGGUCAUUGGAAACUGGGGAACUUGAGUGCAGAAGAGAAAAGCGGAAUUCCACGUGUAGCGGUGAAAUGCGUAGAGAUGUGGAGGAACACCAGUGGCGAAGGCGGCUUUUUGGUCUGUAACUGACGCUGAGGCGCGAAAGCGUGGGGAGCAAACAGGAUUAGAUAC